rnacentral:rRNA from 1 species
CUGGUUGAUCCUGCCGGACCUGACUGCUAUCGGAUUGAUACUAAGCCAUGCGAGUCAUUGUAGCAAUACAAGGCAGACGGCUCAGUAACGCGUAGUCAACCUACCCUAUGGACGGGGAUAACCUCGGGAAACUGAGAAUAAUACCCGAUAGAACAUUAUACCUGGAAUGGUUUAUGUUUCAAAUAAUUUAUUGCCGUAGGAUGGGACUGCGGCCUAUCAGUUUGUUGGUGAGGUAAUGGCCCACCAAGACUAUUACAGGUACGGGCUCUGAGAGGAGUAGCCCGGAGAUGGGUACUGAGACACGGACCCAGGCCCUAUGGGGCGCAGCAGGCGAGAAAACUUUGCAAUGUGCGAAAGCACGACAAGGUUAAUCCGAGUGGUUUCUGCUAAAGGAACCUUUUGUUAGUCAUAGAACCACUAAUGAAUAAGGGGUGGGCAAGUUCUGGUGUCAGCCGCCGCGGUAAAACCAGCACCUCAAGUGGUCAGGAUGAUUAUUGGGCCUAAAGCAUCCGUAGCCUGCUUUGUUAGUUUUCGGUUAAAUCCAUACGCUCAACGUAUGGGCUGCCGGGAAUACUGCAAAGCUAGGGAGUGGGAGAGGUAGACGGUACUCGGUAGGAAGGGGUAAAAUCCUUUGAUCUAUUGAUGACCACCUGUGGCGAGGGCGGUCUACCAGAACACGUCCGACGGUGAGGGAUGAAAGCUGGGGGAGCAAACCGGAUUAGAUACCCGGGUAGUCCCAGCUGUAAACUAUGCAAACUCGGUGAUGCAUUGGCUUGAUGCCAAUGCAGUGCCGCAGGGAAGCCGUUAAGUUUGCCGCCUGGGAAGUACGUACGCAAGUAUGAAACUUAAAGGAAUUGGCGGGGGAGCACCACAAGGGGUGAAGCCUGCGGCUUAAUUGGAGUCAACGCCGG